ACCGCAAGAGACCAGAAAAUGUAGUCUGACUAUAACUCUAGGAAGAGGAGGAGACUGGAUACUGGCGAGCCCAAGCAGCCUCUGCCACGUAACUCAUCGUCUAUGAGCCUCAGUUCCUCCCCUGGAAAUAGGACUGAUAAGAACAAGGGUGCUAUGAUGAUUAAGAUAUUGCAUGUGUCAUUGACACACGGGACUCAAUAAAUGUUAGUUUUUAUUAUUUUUAAAUCUUUGCUCCAAGCACAGGUUUUCUAAGUGGAAACUGAGGCAUGACCACCCAUUAUGUCAUGGGGGAGAGAUUUUUAUGCAGGGGUUGGGGAGGAUGGAGGCAGCCCUCCCUUCUCCCAGGCCCAGAGAAUGUGAAAAGUUCUACCUGUAUGAGACCACAUCUCAUAACCUCAAGGGCUUUUCAGAAAGGGUGUCAUGUAGAGGGCUGGAGGGUCUCAGCAACGUGAAGAUUGGCUAGGAGAGCAGGCGACUCAUUCAGUCAUUCGUCACCAAGCACAAUCUUGUCCCUGGCACUGUCAGAAGCUGGGAAUACAGAGAUAAAUAAAACGUGGUCAAAAAUCUCACAGUCUAAAGUGUCGGGACAAACUCACAAGCCAAUCAAUGGGACACAGUGGGCUCAAAGCUGGCACAGAAGUGAUGCACAAAAAUGAAGCCCAGAGGAGAGGACCACGAGUUCUCCUCAUGGUCAUUUGAGCUGGGUGCUCACAGGUAAUAGAUGCCCAAUAGAAAACGCGGGGAGGGAGGUCAGGACCAAGAGGAGAGCAUGUGCUACAAGAGGGAGAAUAAAUAUGCAGGCCAACUGGGAAGCAGCUCAGACAGGCUGGAGCAAUGGCCAUGCUUUAGGACCCUGGCUAGGUGUUAGAAUUACCUGGGGGAGAUUUCUAAACACACCCACAACCUCCAGGUCCCAGGCCAAUGAAAUCAGACUCUCUGAGAGCAUGGUCUGGCGUGGGUAGGUUUCAAAGCUCCCAGGUGAUUUGAAUGUGCAGCCAGGACUGAGAAGCCCUGGGUUGGAGCUGAACAGGAGGCACACAGCAUGACAUGAGCCUGUCGGAGAGGAUGAGGCAGAAAUGAAAGCCAGGCCAAGAAGCUGGACAUUCUCCUGCAGGCCACCAGGAGCCCAGUGGUGUUCUUGUAACUGAGGAGAAUAUGAUUAGGAAAUCCUUUGAUUAGCAAAGUUGCUAAAAGAACUGAGGCUGGGAGACUGCAACAGCCCCAACCUAGCACCCCAGAUGAGGAUCUGAACUGAGGUGGAGCCGCAAAGACAAAGGAAGAGCUCGUCACACAGGAUUAGAUUUAGGAAGUGAGGACGAGGUUCUAUAACUCCCUCAGAGUCAGGGACAGUGUCUAUACAGGGUGGAACACUGAGGGCAGGAUCCAGCCCCAGCAGCCCUGGGGGCCUCUCUCCAGGGAAAGCCUCAUAUGCACCAACAUGGCUCCUCCCCAGCCCCACCCAGGUGAAAGGACACCCUCCCCUGGAGAAGGGUUUAAGGAGAAGUCUAACCCAGGCUUACCUUCAGGGAUCCUCUGAUGGGCCCACGUUGGGAUUUUGCAGGAGAGUUCUGAUCCACCACACCUGCACCCAAGCCCCACCUCCCAUCCAGAGGCAGGCAGGCAGCCUGAACCCUCCCUCCGACAGGGAGGUGGCACUCUGCCUGUGAGGCAGCCCUCCUAGAGCAAAGCUGCACCAGCUGGUGUCUCUUCCCUGCUGUCUUCGCCUGUUCCCAAAGCCCCAGGCGGGUUCAAGGAAGGUAUUAGGUGGCUGGAGACGGAGAAGCAAGCGCCUGCCUGGGAGAGUCCUGGGCCCUGAAAGAGGCCCCUGGGACUGGUUCCAGGAAACCAGAUUCCAAACAGAUCCACCCUGGGAAC
rnacentral:lncRNA from 1 species